rnacentral:rRNA from 1 species
UACAGAGGGUGCAAGCGUUGUUCGGAAUUACUGGGCGUAAAGCGCGUGUAGGCGGCCUAUUAAGUCAGAUGUGAAAUCCCUUGGCUCAACUGAGGAACUGCAUCUGAUACUGGUAGGCUUGAGUGUCGGAGGGGAUGGUAGAAUUCCUGGUGUAGAGGUGAAAUUCGUAGAUAUCAGGAGGAAUACCUGUGGCGAAGGCGACCAUCUGGAAGACAACUGACGCUGAGACUCGAAAGCGUGGGUAGCAAACAGG